rnacentral:rRNA from 1 species
AUGAACGCUGGCGGCGUGCCUAAUACCUGCCAGUCGCGCGAACAGACGAGGAGCUUGCUCCUCUGACGUUAGCGGCGGACGGGUGAGUUACACGUGGAUAACCUACCUAUAAGACUGGGAUAACUUCGGGAAACCGGAGCUAAUACCGGAUAAUAUAUUGAACCGCAUGGUUCAAUAGUGAAAGACGGUUUUGCUGUCACUUAUAGAUGGAUCCGCGCCGCAUUAGCUAGUUGGUAAGGUAACGGCUUACCAAGGCAACGAUGCGUAGCCGACCUGAGAGGGUGAUCGGCCACACUGGAACUGAGACACGGUCCAGACUCCUACGGGAGGCAGCAGUAGGGAAUCUUCCGCAAAGGGCGAAAGCCUGACGGAGCAACGCCGCGUGAGUGAUGAAGGUCUUCGGAUCGUAAAACUCUGUUAUUAGGGAAGAACAAAUGUGUAAGUAACUAUGCACGUCUUGACGGUACCUAAUCAGAAAGCCACGGCUAACUACGUG